rnacentral:lncRNA from 1 species
GGAUGGGAUUCCACUUGGGGCGGCACACGGCCUCCUGGGGAUCCCAGAGCUGGGCCUGAGGGUGAGCCUCCAAUAAAGCUCACAUCCUAAACGCAAGCAGCUCUCAGAACAGGAAAGCAUCAGAACCCAGGCAGUUGCUGCUGGGCCACAUGAGGCUUUGCUGUCCCUUACAGAAGAGGCAGAUGAUGUC